rnacentral:rRNA from 1 species
AAGGUAGCAUAAUCAUUAGUCUUUUAAUUGGAGGCUUGUAUGAAUGGUUGGACGAAGUAAAUACUGUUUUAUAUUAAUUUAUAAAUUGAAUUUGGAAUUUAAGUAAAAAUACUUAAAUUUUAUUAAGGGACGAGAAGACCCUAUAGAGUUUGAUAUAUAUAUAUUAUUUUAGUCAUAGUUAAAAAAAAAUUUUUGGUUAAUUAUUAAGUAUAUUUAAUUGGGGUGAUUAAUAAAUAAGAAAAACUUUUUUUUAAUGGAAAUGUUAUGUGUAGUUAUUGGAUCCAUUAAUAAUAAUGAUUAUAAGAUUAAAUUACCUUAGGGAUAACAGCAUAAUUCUUUUUGAGAGUUCAUAUUGAGAAAGGAGAUUGUGA